rnacentral:rRNA from 1 species
ACUCAAAUGAAUAGACGGGGACCCGCACAAGUAGAGGAGCAUGUGGUUUAAUUCGAUGGUAAACGAGAAACCUCACCUAGGUUUGAAAUGUAGCUGCAAGCCGGAAGAAACUCUGGCCGCCUUCGAGGGUGCUACACAGGUGCUGCAUGGUUGUCGUCAGCUCGUGUCGUGAGAUGUACCGUUAAGUCGGGUAACGAGCGCAACCCCUAUCCCGUGUUACUUUUUCACGGGAGACUGCCUCGGAUAACGGGGAGGAAGGUAGGGAUGACGCCAAAUCAGCAUGGCUCUUACACCUAGGGCUACACACGUGCUACAAUGGCAUAUACAAUGGGCCGCCAAAUCGUAAGAUGGAGCUAAUCCCACCAAAGUAUGCCUCAGUUCGGAUCGAGGGCUGCAACUCGCCCUCGUGAAGCUGGAUUUACUAGUAAACGCGUAUCAGCUAUGGCGCGUUGAAUACGUUCUCGGGUCUUGUACACACCGCCCGU